GGGCGGUUAGCUCAAUUGGUUAGAGCAAUUGACUUACAUUCAAUAGGCUGAGGGUUCAAUUCCUUCACCGCCCACCA
rnacentral:tRNA from 1 species